UACACUCCUGCGGGAGGCAGCAGUGGGGAAUAUUGGGCAAUGGGCGCAAGCCUGAUCCAGCCAUGCCGCGUGAGUGAUGAAGGCCCUAGGGUUGUAAAGCUCUUUCACCGGUGAAGAUAAUGACGGUAACCGGAGAAGAAGCCCCGGCUAACUUCGUGCCAGCAGCCGCGGUAAUACGAAGGGGGCUAGCGUUGUUCGGAUUUACUGGGCGUAAAGCGCACGUAGGCGGACUAUUAAGUCAGGGGUGAAAUCCCGGGGCUCAACCCCGGAACUGCCUUUGAUACUGGUAGUCUUGAGUUCGAGAGAGGUGAGUGGAAUUCCGAGUGUAGAGGUGAAAUUCGUAGAUAAUCGGAGGAACACCAGUGGCGAAGGCGGCUCACUGGCUCGAUACUGACGCUGAGGUGCGAAAGCGUGGGGAGCAAACAGGAUUAGAAACCCGAGUAGUCCAUGA
rnacentral:rRNA from 1 species